rnacentral:rRNA from 2 species
AAAGAUUAAGCCAUGCAUGUCUAAGUAUAAGCACUUUAUACUGUGAAACUGCGAAUGGCUCAUUAAAUCAGUUAUCGUUUAUUUGAUAGUACCUUACUACAUGGAUACCUGUGGUAAUUCUAGAGCUAAUACAUGCUAAAAACCUCGACUUCGGAAGGGGUGUAUUUAUUAGAUAAAAAACCAAUGCCCUUCGGGGCUCCUUGGUGAUUCAUAAUAACUUAACGAAUCGCAUGGCCUUGCGCCGGCGAUGGUUCAUUCAAAUUUCUGCCCUAUCAACUUUCGAUGGUAGGAUAGUGGCCUACCAUGGUGG